rnacentral:rRNA from 1 species
UCAAUAAGCGGAGGAAAAGAAACCAACAGGGAUUGCCCUAGUAACGGCGAGUGAAGCGGCAACAGCUCAAAUUUGAAAUCUGGCUUCGGCCCGAGUUGUAAUUUGCAGAGGAUGUUUCUGGCGCGGUGCCUUCCGAGUUCCCUGGAACGGGACGCCACAGAGGGUGAGAGCCCCGUAUGGUUGGACACCAAGCCUGUGUGAAACUCCUUCGACGAGUCGAGUAGUUUGGGAAUGCUGCUCUAAAUGGGAGGUAAAUCUCUUCUAAAGCUAAAUACCGGCCAGAGACCGAUAGCGCACAAGUAGAGUGAUCGAAAGAUGAAAAGCACCUUGAAAAGGGGGUUAAAUAGUACGUGAAAUUGUUGAAAGGGAAGCACUUAUGACCAGACUUGGGCCGGGCGGCUCAUCAGGGGUUCUCCCCUGUGCACUCCGCCCGGCACAGGCCAGCAUCGGUUUUCGCGGGGGGAUAAGACCGGCGGGAACGUAGCACCCUCCGGGGUGUGUUAUAGCCCGCCGGACGAUACCCUCGCGGGGACCGAGGUCCGCGCUCCGCAAGGAUGCUGGCGUAAUGGUCAUCAGUGACCCGUCUUGAAACACGGACCAAGGAGUCGUCCAUUA